UGUCAAAUUGUCACCCUGUCAAAUUAAAAUGUAAAAAACAAUUAAGCGAACAAAAUAUUUCUAUAGCUUCCUAUAAAAUAUACCGCGUAUUGGACAACAGAUUUUAAUCAUUUUAUGUUAACUAGUACUAUUGUUUCAUCUAGACUCUAGAGUUUUCUUUUCUCAAGCUGGAAUGAAUUAUUUGUCUACUUAUUAAGAAACGCGAUCAUUUCCUUCAACCUCCCUCAACAAACCUUCAACUUUUCUAAGGUGGAUCAAUGGCCUCCAGAUUGAUAAAGGAUUUUUCUGACUUCACGGGCAAGAACCUAUGGAUUUUUUUAUAACGAAGCAACGAGUAUGCUUGAAAAAGUCAUCUCACAGUACAAAGUUCAUCAAACAGUCUUUUCAUGACCGAAAUAUAUGUACCAUGACGCAUCUCAAAGCAUUUUCCGGUCAAACGUGACGCAAGAUAUUGCCCUCAGUACGCACCCAGAAGACAGAUAGACAAUAUUGUGAAAAUCCCAUAGCUAUAUAUCCAAUAACUAAGAGUGUAGAUAAUCUGGAAAUUAAAUACUUCGACUCUU